GUACGGUUAAUAUAUAUUAAUACACGUAAGUUACUUACCUCAAAUUUAACUUUAUUUCCACUGGUUUCGCGAAGAAAGUGGUGUAAUGGACCUGCGACGUACUAUGAAAGCUAAAAUCCACUAAAAUAUGAUAACUAAUGUAACGUUACCUAUGAUAUGAACGCGAAUACGAUAUGAAAAAUCAAACAAAUAAGUAACUUAUAGCUAUAAACCUCGUAUAAACUAACUAAUCCUAUUCACAAACACGUAUGAACAGCAUAUAUAUACACACAACUUAACUAACGUCAAUUAAGCUACGAAAACUACCUAUCUAAUUAUCAAACUGUACACUAUAACUAAUAUAAAUACUAUAUAUGAUAACUAUAACUUAACCUAUGAUGAAAUCUAAAUGAAUCAACUAACUUAUCUAACAAUUAACUACAAAAUACACGCAAUUUAUGAAAAAAUACGAAAAUCAAUAGGAGCUCGUCUAUAUCCACCACUGUCUUUCACCAACAAACGUUAAUUCCGUUAUGUCAGUUAUAAGUAUCUCUCGCGAGGUGCAUUCAAAUUUGUGUAUUCAAAUGUAUUUUAUCCCCUCUCUUAGUCAAAGCUAUAGGUCAGGACAUAGCUUUUGGUUUGGCUGAAUUUUAAUUGUGACAAUUCAUCAGUGCUAGUGUUUUUUUUUUUUUUCUUCUUCUUCUUCUUUCCCUAUUAAAGGGAAGUUUGUUGCUUUUUAUUCCAGACUCAACCUUUUUGUAAACCCACAGAUGACUAUUGUAAUAAUAAUGGAGGAUUGUGGUACAAGAGAGCAUUUACACUUAACCUAACAAUUAAUGCCUAUUAAUCUAAUUUGUUUCUGUGUUCCAGUCCCUGGUGUCAUAGUUUACUUCCUGGAGGAGGAUGCUUUAGCAAUUUCAGCAUUGGACUUGUUCCCAUCCUUUUUGGUCGCCUCUCCUGCACUUGCUGUUUGGAAGUCAUUGCUUGCAUCUGAUUCAGGACCUGUCAUUCUGCAUUUCUGUUUUCAUUCGCUUUGCUUACAUUUUGAACCCUUAGCAAUAAUAAACGUUUUCUAUUUGGGCUAUAGUUGUACAUUCAAGUUUGUUUUUUCUUAAUUGAAUGUGUUUGUGUGGAUAUGCAACAAUUAUUUAUUUUAUAGUACUUCAUUGAUGGAAAUUUGCAAAGAUUCUGAAUUAAAAAAAACACAUUAACAUUGUUCUUAAUUUUUAUUGUCAUUGUUUUAAUCAGUUAAUCUAUAACUGCACAAUGGUGGUGCACUAUUGCCUGAUUUUGUGUGCAUUGUGAUUUAGAUUAUGCAACACAUUAAAUUGACCCUAAUUAAGUCA